rnacentral:tRNA from 1 species
GCCGACUUAGCUCAGCUGGUAGAGCACUCGCCUUGUAAGCGAACGGUCAUCAGUUCGACUCUGAUAGUCGGCU